rnacentral:rRNA from 1 species
GUUGACGUGGGGCGAGCAGGCGGGGUAAUACGAAGGGGGCGAGUGUGGUGCGGAAGCACGGGGCGGAAAGGGCGCGGAGGGGGCCCUGUUUGUGGCGUGUGAAAGCCCCGGGCUCAACCUGGGAAUGGCGCGCGAGACGGCGGGGCUGGAGUUCGGGAGAGGAGCGUGGAAUUCCCAGUGUAGAGGUGAAAUUCGUAGAUAUUCGGAAGAACACCGGUGGCGAAGGCGGCGCUCUGGACCGAGACUGACGCUGAGGCGCGAAAGCGUGGGGAGCAAACAGGAUUAGAUACCCGGGUAGUC